rnacentral:rRNA from 1 species
UGGGGAAUUUUGGACAAUGGGCGAAAGCCUGAUCCAGCAAUGCCGCGUGUGUGAAGAAGGCCUUCGGGUUGUAAAGCACUUUUGUCCGGAAAGAAAUCCUCUGGGUUAAUACCUCGGGGGGAUGACGGUACCGGAAGAAUAAGCACCGGCUAACUACGUGCCAGCAGCCGCGGUAAUACGUAGGGUGCAAGCGUUAAUCGGAAUUACUGGGCGUAAAGCGUGCGCAGGCGGUUUUGUAAGACGGAUGUGAAAUCCCCGGGCUUAACCUGGGAACUGCAUUCGUGACUGCAAGGCUAGAGUAUGGCAGAGGGGGGUAGAAUUCCACGUGUAGCAGUGAAAUGCGUAGAGAUGUGGAGGAAUACCGAUGGCGAAGGCAGCCCCCUGGGCCAAAUACUGACGCUCAUGCACGAAAGCGUGGGGGAGCAAACAGGAUUAGAUACCCUGGUAGUCCACGCCCUAAAACGAUGUCAACUAGUUGUUGGGGAUUCAUUUCCUUAGUAACGUAGCUAACGCGUGAAGUUGACCGCCUGGGGGAGUACGGUCGCAAGAUUAAAACUCAAAUGAAUUGACGGGGUCAUAGCUGUUUCCU